rnacentral:rRNA from 1 species
GAUGAACGCUGGCGGCGUGCCUAAUACAUGCAAGUCGAGCGAACAGACGCGGAGCUUGCUCCUCUGACGUUAGCGGCGGACGGGUGAGUAACACGUGGAUAACCUACUUAUCACUCUGGGAUAACUUCGGGAAACCGGAGCUAAUACCGCAUAAUAUAUUGAACCGCAUGGUUCAAUAGUGAAAGACGGUUUUGCUGUCACUUAUAGAUGGAUCCGCGCCGCAUUAGCUAGUUGGUAAGGUAACGGCUUACCAAGGCAACGAUGCGUAGCCGACCUGAGAGGGUGAUCGGCCGCACUGGAGGUGAGACGCGGUCCAGACUCCUACGGGAGGCAGCAGUAGGGAAUCUUCCGCAAUGGGCGGAAGCCUGACGGAGCAGCGCCGCGGGAGUGAUGAAGGUCUUCGGAUCGUAAAACUCUGUUAUUGGGGAAGAACAAAUGUGUAAGUAACUAUGCACGUCUUGACGGUACCUAAUCAGAAAGCCACGGCUAACUACGUG